AGAGUUUGAUCCUGGCUCAGGAUGAACGCUAGCUACAGGCUUAACACAUGCAAGUCGAGGGGCAGCGGGAUUGAAGCUUGCUUCAAUUGCCGGCGACCGGCGCACGGGUGAGUAACGCGUAUCCAACCUUCCGCUUACUCGGGGAUAGCCUUUCGAAAGAAAGAUUAAUACCCGAUGGUAUCUUAAGCACGCAUGAGAUUAAGAUUAAAGAUUUAUCGGUAAGCGAUGGGGAUGCGUUCCAUUAGGCAGUUGGCGGGGUAACGGCCCACCAAACCUACGAUGGAUAGGGGUUCUGAGAGGAAGGUCCCCCACAUUGGAACUGAGACACGGUCCAAACUCCUACGGGAGGCAGCAGUGAGGAAUAUUGGUCAAUGGGCGAGAGCCUGAACCAGCCAAGUAGCGUGAAGGAUGACGGCCCUACGGGUUGUAAACUUCUUUUGUGCGGGAAUAAAGGAACCUACGUGUAGGUUUUUGCAUGUACCGUAACGAAUAAGCAUCGGCUAACUCCGUGCCAGCAGCCGCGGUAAUACGGAGGAUGCGAGCGUUAUCCGGAUUUAUUGGGUUUAAAGGGAGCGUAGACGGGUUUUUAAGUCAGCUGUGAAAGUUUGGGGCUCAACCUUAAAAUUGCAGUUGAAACUGGAGACCUUGAGUACGGUUGAGGCAGGCGGAAUUCGUGGUGUAGCGGUGAAAUGCUUAGAUAUCACGAAGAACCCCGAUUGCGAAGGCAGCCUGCUAAGCCGCCACUGACGUUGAGGCUCGAAAGUGCGGGUAUCAAACAGGAUUAGAUACCCUGGUAGUCCGCACGGUAAACGAUGGAUACUCGCUGUUGGCGAUAGACUGUCAGCGGCCAAGCGAAAGCGUUAAGUAUCCCACCUGGGGAGUACGCCGGCAACGGUGAAACUCAAAGGAAUUGACGGGGGCCCGCACAAGCGGAGGAACAUGUG
rnacentral:rRNA from 1 species